rnacentral:rRNA from 1 species
AUACGGAAGGUCCGGGCGUUAUCCGGAUUUAUUGGGUCUAAAGGGAGCGCAGGCGGAGAUGCAAGCGUGACGUCAAAUUUCGGGGCUCAACCCCGUCUCGCGUCGCGAACUGCGUCCCUUGGUUGCGGGAAGGGGAGGCGGAACUCGUGGUGUAGCGGUGAAAUGCAUAGAUAUCACGAAGAACUCCGAUCGCGAAGGCAGCCUUCCGGCCCGUCAACGACGCUCAUGCUCGAAGGUGCGGGUAUCAAACAGGAUUAGAUACCCUGGUAGUCCGCACAGUAAACGAUGGACACCCGCGGUUUGGCCUAUAUGGCUGAGCCGCCAAGCGAAAGCGUUAAGUGUCCCACCUGGGGAGUACGCCGGCAACGGUGAAACUCAAAUGAAUUGACGGGG